GUGGGGAAUUUUGGACAAUGGGCGCAAGCCUGAUCCAGCAAUGCCGCGCGCAGGAAGAAGGCCUUCGGGUUGUAAAGCACUUUUGGCAGGAAAGAAAUAGUGCGUGCUAAUACCAUGCGCGAAUGACGGUACCUGCAGAAUAAGCACCGGCUAACUACGUGCCAGCAGCCGCGGUAAGACGUAGGGUGCAAGCGUUAAUCGGAAUUACUGGGCGUAAAGCGUGCGCAGGCGGUUUUGUAAGACAGGUGUGAAAUCCCCGGGCUCAACCUGGGAACGGCACUUGUGACUGCAAGGCUAGAGUGUGUCAGAGGGAGGUGGAAUUCCGCGUGUAGCAGUGAAAUGCGUAGAGAUGCGGAGGAACACCGAUGGCGAAGGCAGCCUCCUGGGAUAACACUGACGCUCAGACACGAAAGCGUGGGGAGCAAACAGGAUUAGAAACCCCGGUAGUCC
rnacentral:rRNA from 1 species